rnacentral:misc_RNA from 1 species
AUUUUUGAGAUAAAGAUUUAGUUGGGUUGAGUUACUAAUAUUUUGAUUAUCAUCCCUCACGGAGUUGAAGGAAAGUUGCUGAAACCCUCUUCUGUUGCUAGAAGAGGCUUUCGUGUCCAGCUCACACAUGUUCAAUUAUAGGAACAUUAAAGAUAUUGGCAAAACCAAUAUCUUUCAGAUGAAUUUAGUUUCUGGUUUAAAGGUAAAAUCAAGUAUGUGAACCAAAAUGA